GCCUACGGGGGGCAGCAGUGAGGAAUAUUGGUCAAUGGCCGGAAGGCUGAACCAGCCAAGUCGCGUGAGGGAAUAAGGCCCUAUGGGUCGUAAACCUCUUUUGUCAGGGAGCAAAGGCGUCCACGUGUGGACGAGAGGAGAGUACCUGAAGAAAAAGCAUCGGCUAACUCCGUGCCAGCAGCCGCGGUAAUACGGAGGAUGCGAGCGUUAUCCGGAUUUAUUGGGUUUAAAGGGUGCGUAGGCGGGCAUUUAAGCCGGCGGUCAAAUGUCGGGGCUCAACCCCGGCCUGCCGUCGGAACUGGGUG
rnacentral:rRNA from 1 species